CACUGCCAGUUCGGUUCAUAUUGGAAAUUCGUCGAAAGAACUUAAGGAUUAUUCUCUAAAUGGAGACACCCAAGAUCGAGUUUUUGGUAUCUUUAAUGCCAUUGCCAUAAUUGCCACAACAUAUGGCAAUGGGAUCAUCCCAGAAAUUCAGGCAACCAUAGCAGAACCUGUGAAAGGGAAGAUGUUCAAGGGAUUGUGUGUAUGUUAUACUGUAGUUGCAGUGACAUUCUUCAGUGUUGCAAUUUCUGGGUAUUGGGCUUUUGGUAACCGAGCUGAAGGUCUAAUCCUUAGCAACUUUGUAAGUAAUGGGAAGCCUUUGGUGCCUAAAUGGUUUGUUUUGAUGACAAAUAUCUUCACUAUUCUCCAACUAUCAGCAGUUGCUGUGGUUUACUUGCAGCCUACAAAUGAAGCGCUGGAACGAACAUUUGCAGACCCCAAAAGCAAGGAAUUCUCUGCUCGUAACGUUAUCCCGAGGUUUGUCUCAAGGUCAUUGUCUGUGAUCAUAGCAACUACAAUAGCAGCAAUGCUUCCAUUUUUUGGAGACAUCAAUUCAUUGAUUGGAGCUUUCGGUUUCAUGCCUCUAGACUUUAUCUUGCCUGUUGUUUUCUUCAACUUGACAUUUAAGCCAUCAAAGAAGAGCUAUAUUUUCUGGUUGAAUACAAGCAUUGCAGUAGUUUUCUCAGCUUUGGGGGUUAUAGCGGCAAUUGCAGCAGUCAGACAAAUUAGUCUCGACGCCAAAACUUAUCGGUUAUUUGCUAAUGUUUGAUCACAUCAGAUGGUAGCGGUAGAAGCUAGUGUGUAUGAUUUAGUGCUUCAGGGAACCUUUGCAAUUGCAAAUGAAACUCUAAUCUUAUCCUGAGGUCACCUCAUGUUG
rnacentral:misc_RNA from 1 species